AGAGUUUGAUCCUGGCUCAGGACGAACGCUGGCGGCGUGCUUAACACAUGCAAGUCGAACGAUGAAGCUGGAGCUUGCUCUAGCGGAUUAGUGGCGAACGGGUGAGUAACACGUGAGCAAUCUGCCCUUGACUCUGGGAUAACUGCGGGAAACUGUAGCUAAUACCGGAUACUUUCACCGGGGGGCAUCCUCUGGUGAUGAAAGAAUUUCGGUCAAGGAUGAGCUCGCGGCCUAUCAGCUUGUUGGUGAGGUAACGGCUCACCAAGGCGACGACGGGUAACCGGCCUGAGAGGGUGACCGGUCACACUGGGACUGAGACACGGCCCAGACUCCUACGGGAGGCAGCAGUGGGGAAUAUUGCACAAUGGGCGCAAGCCUGAUGCAGCAACGCCGCGUGAGGGAUGAAGGCCUUCGGGUUGUAAACCUCUUUCAGUAGGGACGAAGCGCAAGUGACGGUACCUACAGAAGAAGGACCGGCCAACUACGUGCCAGCAGCCGCGGUAAUACGUAGGGUCCGAGCGUUGUCCGGAAUUACUGGGCGUAAAGAGCUCGUAGGUGGUUUGUCGCGUUGUCCGUGAAAACUCACAGCUUAACUGUGGGCGUGCGGGCGAUACGGGCAGACUGGAGUACUGCAGGGGAGACUGGAAUUCCUGGUGUAGCGGUGGAAUGCGCAGAUAUCAGGAGGAACACCGGUGGCGAAGGCGGGUCUCUGGGCAGUAACUGACGCUGAGGAGCGAAAGCGUGGGGGAGCGAACAGGAUUAGAUACCCUGAUAGUCCACGCCGUAAACGGUGGGUACUAGGUGUGGGUUUCCUUCCUUGGGAUCCGUGCCGUAGCUAACGCAUUAAGUACCCCGCCUGGGGAGUACGGCCGCAAGGCUAAAACUCAAAGAAAUUGACGGGGGCCCGCACAAGCGGCGGAGCAUGUGGAUUAAUUCGAUGCAACGCGAAGAACCUUACCUGGGUUUGACAUGCAC
rnacentral:rRNA from 1 species